rnacentral:misc_RNA from 1 species
UCUCCGUAGGUGAACCUGCGGAGGGAUCAUUACAGAGUUCAUGCCCUCCGGGUAGAUCUCCCACCCAUUGCUAUAACUACUCUCGUUGCUUUGGCGGGCCGCUGGGCCCUGCCCGGCCGCCGGCCCCGGCUGGCGCGUGCCCGCCAGAGACCUCACAAACUCCGAAUGUUAGUGUCGUCCGAGUAACUAUACAAUCGUUAAAACUUUCAACAACGGAUCUCUUGGUUCUG